rnacentral:rRNA from 1 species
AGUGAACGCUGGCGGUAGGCCUAACACAUGCAAGUCGAACGGCAGCACAGUAAGAGCUUGCUCUUACGGGUGGCGAGUGGCGGACGGGUGAGGAAUACAUCGGAAUCUACUUUUUCGUGGGGGAUAACGUAGGGAAACUUACGCUAAUACCGCAUACGACCUACGGGUGAAAGCAGGGGAUCUUCGGACCUUGCGCGAUUGAAUGAGCCGAUGUCGGAUUAGCUAGUUGGCGGGUAAAGGCCCACCAAGGCGACGAUCCGUAGCUGGUCUGAGAGGAUGAUCAGCCACACUGGAACUGAGACACGGUCCAGACUCCUACGGGAGGCAGCAGUGGGGAAUAUUGGACAAUGGGCGCAAGCCUGAUCCAGCCAUACCGCGUGGGUGAAGAAGGCCUUCGGGUUGUAAAGCCCUUUUGUUGGGAAAGAAAAGCAGCAGGUUAAUACCCCGCUGUUCUGACGGUACUCAAAGAAUAAGCACCGGCUAACUUCGUG